UGGGGAAUCUUGGACAAUGGGCGCAAGCCUGAUCCAGCCAUGCCGCGUGUGUGAUGAAGGCCUUAGGGUCGUAAAGCACUUUCGCCAGAGAUGAUAAUGACAGUAUCUGGUAAAGAAACCCCGGCUAACUCCGUGCCAGCAGCCGCGGUAAUACGGAGGGGGUUAGCGUUGUUCGGAAUUACUGGGCGUAAAGCGCACGUAGGUGGAUUAGUCAGUCAGAGGUGAAAUCCCAGGGCUCAACCCUGGAACUGCCUUUGAUACUGCUAGUCUUGAGUUCGAGAGAGGUGAGUGGAAUUCCGAGUGUAGAGGUGAAAUUCGUAGAUAUUCGGAGGAACACCAGUGGCGAAGGCGGCUCACUGGCUCGAUACUGACGCUGAGGUGCGAAAGUGUGGGGAGCAAACAGGAUUAGAUACCCUGGUAGUCCACACCGUAAACGAUGAAUGCCAGUCGUCGGGCAGUAUACUGUUCGGUGACACACCUAACGGAUUAAGCAUUCCGCCUGGGGAGUACGGUCGCAAGAUUA
rnacentral:rRNA from 1 species